CAGACCCGGUCCCCGCCAUGCUCCCCUCCCCCACCUCCUGCCUGGCCCUGCCUAGCUGGAUCCCAAGAAAUGAGAGGAAUGGGACCUGCCUCCUCCAGAUUAUUUUCGGAAGAUCUUUCCGGAUACCAUAUUCACCUUUCCCGGGUCUCAUCAGCAAGGGGAACCAGGUGCAUGCGGGAAGAGUCUAGCAUUUCCUUCAAAAGGCGUUGGCAGCAUGGCUCGGGGCCGUGGAGGUGGGCGAGGCCCAUCUGCCUUCUCACUUUCUUCAGGCUUUGCUGGUGAAAGCGGACACUUUGAUCUCAUCAAAUUUCCAAGGGAAAGAAGAAAAGGAGCUCUUUGAUGGUUUCAGGGAAAACAAGGACAAUCAUGUAUGAUGGGAAGGAAGGCCAGUGAAGGCCAAGAAGAUCCCACUUUGGACAUAACCAGCAUAGAAAAGCCUAUCUUGGGUUUGGGCAGAUUUAAACAUCUGUGGGGAAGAUGGGAGACCACCAGAAAAAUGGCCAGGAGCUGCUCUGAAAUCUUGCUUUGCAAUCAGUCUGGUGCACCAAGAAACCUCUCCGUUCUGAUCCUUCUCAAGGUGCUGGGUCCUGAAGGGAGCCCAGGAGCCUGCUUCCUGCUUUGGGGGUCGUGCCCUUCCUGCGUAAACAGUCCUCUGGGAAGAAAUCUCGCCAACAGGUUCAGGUCAGAAAAAGAAAGUCAGAGGGGCAAAACUGAUUGCCUCCCUGCCCAGUGACUCGGUGGACGCCAACAUGGGCGGAUGCAGGGCAGUGACAGAGCUAUCUCAAUGUGGGCGGGAGGUUCUACUAACAUUCCAUGAUCCACACCGGCCAUUGGCUGGAGCUGCAGGGCAGUGGCCCUGAGAUUCCUGCCUCAAGGUCCCAUUAGCCCAUCACUGGAAACUCUAGGGAGAUCCAGGUUUGCAUAAGGCUAUAAACUGAGUUACUUUUUCUCUGGAACAAUCAACCAUGAAGCCCAGGAUGUCUUCAUGGUGGAGAGAAGGGCUGACUGGGAAAAGAUGCCAGAAUUCUGCAGUGUUUCCUAUACUUUGUCUCUGCUUACCUUCUCAGCUGCCCUAA